rnacentral:rRNA from 1 species
GACGAACGCUGGCGGCGUGCUUAACACAUGCAAGUCGAACGGAAAGGCCCUGCUUUUGUGGGGUGCUCGAGUGGCGAACGGGUGAGUAACACGUGAGUAACCUGCCCUUGACUUUGGGAUAACUUCAGGAAACUGGGGCUAAUACCUGAUAGGAUCUCCUGCUGCAUGGUGGGGGUUGGAAAGUUUCGGCGGUUGGGGAUGGUCUCGCGGCUUAUCAUCUUGUUUGUUGGGUAGUGGCUUACCAAGGCUUUGACGGGUAGCCGGCCUGAGAGGGUGACAGGGAAAAAGGGGAAGGAGAGAAGGACCAGAAUGCUAGGGGAGGCAGCAGGGGGGAAAAGUGAAAAAUGGGAGGAAGCCAGAUGGAGAAAAGAAGCGAGCGGGAUGAAGGCCUUCGGGUUGUAAACAGAUUUAGAAGGUGACGAAGAGUGAGUGACGGUAAUGGGUAAAGAAGCACCGGCUAACUACGUG